CCUGAAGCGAGUCGUCCGC
rnacentral:misc_RNA from 1 species